GGGGGUAUAGCUCAGUGGUAGAGUAUUUGACUUCAGAGCAACAUGUAUUUCCA
rnacentral:tRNA from 1 species